AUUCAAGUACUAACCAGGUCCGACCCUGCUUGGCUUCCGAGAUCGGGCGUUCUCAGGGUAGUAUGGCCGUAAGCGAGGGGAAACAUGAAAAUUGUCCCCUUUAUAGCAGACAGGGCACUUCCGGGUCGGGGGCGGAAGAGUGGGGUGAUUUUUUUUUCAUUUAAUGACCUCCUCCCGAGUGCACGAAGGAGGGGCCCGCUCCCGUGGUGGUUUGAGCGCUCAGCCUGUCAGGCUCGCAUACGGUCCUCUGCGAGCACGCAGAUGCGGUACUUGAUGUCUGUUGCAAAAUUGGCUUUUCCAGCGGAGGUGCAAAAGCAUCCAGCAGGCGGAAAUCCCAAGCUGCUUCAUGUCCAAGUGCUAUCAUGACCGAUCCCCGUGCAGACGGCUCCCUCUGUUGGACAUUAAUUUUAUUCCAAAGAGACGUUGAUCUGUCAAAUCAACGUGAAGGAAACGAUUUCAAACCACAGGAUAAGUGAAAGUUGAAUGAUGAAUGAAUGCUAAAAUUUUUGGAAAGAGCAGUGAAUCGUGUUGUGAAUU